rnacentral:lncRNA from 1 species
CUUAGCACCGAGAAGCGCUUCUUUUUCGUUAUCGUUGGCGGUGGCGAGAACGGUUGGUUCCCAGAAGUGGAUUUGGUGGGUCAAAAAUCUGCUGCAGUGGAGAUAGAGGUAGAGGUGGGUCGCAAAGGGCCGCAGAGGCGGUGGAGGAGGUUCAGAAAGAAAAAAGUAAAAAGGAUCACGGCACAGCCUCGGCGGGGUCAGAGGCGAGGAGGGCCCGAGGUGAGCGAGCGCAGGCGAGGGCGCAUGGGGCAAAGGCGAGGAAGGGCGUCUGAAGAAGUGGCGGUAAGCGUAGUCUUGGUGGGGUUGGAGGCAAGGAGGGCAUGUGGUGGGCCGCCUCCGCCUCCGCCUCUCUUUUCGUAGAGAGAAAACAAAAGAAUGAGAGAAAAAAAAAAGAAUGAUGAUAUUUUAGUCAGUUUUCUAAAAAUUCAAUCCGAAUCUGUAAAAUUAAAAAAUACAGUCUAAUUUUGCAAAAACUGAAAACUUAUAGAUUUUUUAUGCAAAUUGGCCAUUUUAAAAAGGGUUAAUUUCAUACAAGUCCCUGCAAACAUGGUGAAUAGUAGAUAUAUCCCUGCAAAGUUCAACUUUCAUAAGUCUUCUCUGCAAAAGUCCUAAUGUAUUCAAAUAUAUCCAUGCCGUUAAUAUCCGUUAGAAAAAUCUAGUUAACCACAGUUAAAAUAUUUAACCAUGAUUAAUUAAUAAUGUGAAUUGACAAUUUUGCCCUUCUUCUUCCUCUCCCUCUUCUUCUUCCUCUCCUGCUUUUCUUCUUCCUCUUCUUCUCCGUAUCCUCAUUUUCCUCCUCCUUUUCUCCUCAUUCUUCUUCUUCUUCUUCUUCUUCUUCUUCUUCUUCGUCGUCGUCGUCGUUGAUGAUCCGAUCGUCGUCGCCG